rnacentral:rRNA from 1 species
UAAUUUGGUUUGGUUUCUAAGAAAAAAUCUCUAAUUUUUUUAUACUAUCUUUAAAAUAAUCAUAGUAGAAAAUUUACUUUAUUUAAUAAUAAAAAAUUAUUAAGAAUUAGAAAAAUAAUCUAGCUAAAUUUGUGCCAGCAGCAGCGGUUAAACAAAUAGAAAAAUUCUUUUUUUUAAGAAAUUUAAUAAAAAAUACUUAAAAAUUAUUAAAAAUUAAGGUGAAAUUUAUUUUUAAAAAAAUAUAAAAAUAUAAUUAAAAUUCUAAGAUUAAACUAGGAUUAGAUACCCUAUUAUUUAAGAGCUUAACAUUGUAAGUAAAUAAUAAUUAUGAAAGCAAAAAAUUAUGGCGGUAUUUUAAGCUUUUCAGAGGAAUUUGCUCUUUAAUGGAUAAAACACCAAAAUCUUACUUAGAUUUGUGAUUUCAAUUUGUAUACCACUAUUAAAACAAUUUAUAACUUUAAUUGUUUAAAUUUACAAAACUAAAAUAUAUUAAGUCAAGGUGCAGUAAAAAUUUAAGGAUGAAGUGAAUUACAUUACUUUUUAGUGAGAUAAGUUUAUAACAAUAUUUAGGAUUUGAAAGUAAAAUUAAAAUAGGAUGUUAAUUUGAAUUAAGCUCUAAAAUAUGUACAUAUCGCCCGUCACUCUUUUAUAAGAUAAGUCGUAACAAAGUUAAAGUACUGGAAAGUGCUUU